rnacentral:rRNA from 1 species
GACGAACGCUGGCGGCGUGCUUAACACAUGCAAGUGGAGCGACGAACCGGGGCUUGCCCCGGGGCAGAGCCGCGAACGGGUGAGUAACACGUGGGUAACCUGCCUCAAUGAUUGGGACAACCCGGGGAAACUCGGGCUAAUACCAAAUGUGUUCACUCCUUCUAAAGGGGGAGUGAGGAAAGGAAGCUUCGGCCUCCGCAUUGAGAUGGGCCCGCGGCCCAUUAGCUUGUUGGUGAGGUAACGGCUCACCAAGGCUUCGAUGGGUAGCUGGUCUGAGAGGACGAUCAGCCACACUGGGACUGAGACACGGCCCAGACUCCUACGGGAGGCAGCAGUGGGGAAUCUUGCACAAUGCGCGAAAGCCUGACGCAGCAACGCCGCAUGCGGGAUGACGGCCUUCGUGGUUGUAAACCGCUUUCAGCAGGGACGAAAAUGACGGUACCUGCAGAAGAAGCCCCGGCUAACUACGUGCCAGCAG